rnacentral:rRNA from 1 species
GACGUAGGGGGCAAGCGUUGUCCGGAAUCAUUGGGCGUAAAGAGCGCGUAGGCGGCCCGACAAGUCCGCUGUGAAAGUCAAGGGCUUAACCCUUGAAUGCCGGUGGAAACUGUCGGGCUAGAGUCCGGAAGAGGCGAGUGGAAUUCCUGGUGUAGCGGUGAAAUGCGUAGAGAUCGGCAGGAACACCCAGGGGGAAACCAGUCGACUGGGCAUCUACUGACGCUGAGGUGCGAGAGCGUGGGGAGCGAACCGG